GCCUGGCUGGCUCAGUCAGUAGAGCAUGUGUCUCUUGAUCUUGAGUUGUGGGUUUGAGCCCCAUGUUGGGUG
rnacentral:tRNA from 1 species